UGGGUCAGGGUGGGGGAGGUGAGAGGACAGCUUACUGGCAGUGGUGCCACUCCCGUCUCCUCUAAAUCCCAGUGCUACCCCCACCCCCUGGCAGGGCAGCCCAAGCGGUGAUGGCGUGGUUGCGGCCUACGCACAUCUGUGGCGGCCAGCAUCACGCCGCCGCCACCACUCAGGCCGCACAGCUGGGAGGAGCACCAGGGUUUAGAGCCAGUGGCGGCAAGGUGAUUUCGCACUGCCCCAUCCCUUGGCUGCCCUUAAAAAUCUUUUAAAGGCAGGAUUCCCCUCCGCUUGGAAAGGGAAAUCCUCACCGGACUCCCUUUUACAAGCAUCACCCCUUGAACGAGUCCGUCAUGGACUGGGCCUGAUUUGGUUGAACUCAGACCAGCUGCCUUUUGAGACCAGUUCAGUGUGAGUCAGAACCAGCCAAACUGGGCCGGUUCGAUUCAAACCAGUUCUGCACACCUCUAUUUUAUUGUUUUUCGUGUGGAAUCCAUUGCUUUGGAUAUGGUAGUUCUCUUGUGUUUAUAUUGGGAGCAAUAUAAACACAAGAUAAAUGCCACAUUUUUUUUCCUUGGCUUGGACCCAAAUAUGCUAUUGAAGGAGCAGAAGGCUCACAGAAAGGGCGGAUCCAAAUCCUUAUGCUUAUUUAUUUAUUUAGUAAGUAAGUAUUUGUAUUAUACUAUGAAAGAAAGAAAUCUACAAGCUGGUCUGCACAGGAUAAAUGAAUUAUUUUUACUAUGGGUGGCCAAAUAGUAAAAAGACUCUGAGGCUGUUCACAUGAGCAGCCCUACCCAAGCUUGGGCAGCCCUACCCAGCCCCCUGGGUAGGGCUGCUCAUGUGAAGCCCUGGGAUCGAGGACAAUCCUGGUGCUGCCUCCCCUUUGUGCCCUUUUUGUGGGCAGCCCAAGCAGACACAAAGACAGUUGCCUAGAGUACCCAGCUUGAGGGGAAAUCUCUCAAUGAGCUGCACUCCUCACAUGGUGCAUUUAGGGAUAUCUUGAGGCUGGGAUGCAUUUCCAUGGCCUGAAGUUCAUGUGAGCACCCAAGCUCACCCAAGGCCAGGAGACCGCUGGGACCACAAGAUCAUCGAGGGGGAGGGAGGAACAAGAAAGGGUUCAUUCAUGUGGCAUCUACUUCCGAAGUGUGCUUAACAUUCGCAUGCAGACCAUCUACAAGAAGUUAAGCAAUUUAAAUCCCAGUUAUUUCCAUCCAGAUAAAAGUGAAGCAUGCUUUGGUACUAUAGACACUUCUCAUAAAAAAGAAGCAAGUCUGGCUAACUAUUGGAUAUUUUGCCCACUCCUGUUCCUGCAGCAAUGGGCCCCACUUUAUAGGCUGACAUUCCCCAGACUGGAAUGAACUUCUUGGAUUUACAAGAUCAUUUAAUUUGUAAUUGUACCUGUAACCUAAAACAGAAAUCCUGGCAAUUCUGCCUCGUCUAGUCAUUAAUUAUGGGGCUUGCACAAGAUUCCUUGGGGAAGUCAUAUUACUGCUGAUACACUUAUCUUUGAGGUCUGGCUGGUGUGGGCAGAUGCUCAACACUGACAAAUUCUCUUUAUGAUGACCAGAAGCAUUUGGAUCCUUCAAUCAGCGCACGGGUCUUUACUGAAACAGAGACCAUACAACCCUCCCUGGCAAAAGUCCAAAGAGCUCUCAAGCUGCAGUAAACUCAGCAGCUUUCGCAAGACCGCCCAGGAUUCCUCAAGCAUUUCACCGCAUCUGGAGGCCUCAUGGGGGUCCUAGGCCACCCCGGAGACCGGCACAACUUCCUUCCCCAUCCCCUGAAGGGCAAGUCACUGGGGAAAAGAAAGAGAAGGAGGGACACCCUACGCAGAAGGCUCACUGCCACCCAUGUUGGGUCAUAACAUAGCAUAAUACAGAAGAAAAAUUCAGCAAAGGUGGCAACUUGACAACCGACAUAUGGAAUCAUAUGGCAUCUCCAAAAAAGAUAAGUCAAACGUUCUACAUCCAAACCCUUACGUUUAUCUAUCAUCAGUGUUUUUCUAUAAUCACAUCAUAAAUAGUGCACUACAGAACGUAGUGGACAAUGUCCUCCACUUGACCAGUGCCACAAGGACAAAGGCACUGUUCCACUGGGAGUUUGUGAAAUCUCCCUUACAAGGGGACUCUUUUGCACCUUGCAGUACUUGAUCCCUGUACUGCUGGGGUAUUGCCAGUUGUGUCACCUCCCCAUCCAGCUGGUUGGUGUGGGCCACCCUCCAGAAUAUGCCUUCCCUUACCUCCCAGUGGGGUAACCAUUGGGCCUUCCUCUCAUCUUUUACCUGGCCUUCUACUACAGCUGCCUGUUCCCAGAGAGGCUGCAAGGACACGUCUUCCUUCUGGGUUCGGAUGAAAUUGGGAUCACCUGCCCAACACACAUCUGUUGCCACAUCUCCCCCAGAUGAUCCUUCACCUCCUUUGCCAUUGGCCUUCAGAACCUCCUGCCCUUGAUCAGGAGCUGCCGCAGUAUGCACUAGUUCUUGAAAGCUAGGGGUGUCUCGCCCUAACAACAUUGGAUAUGGGAGAUGGAUUACCACAAGUAACAAAAACCAAGAAAGAAAUAUAAAUACUGUGUGCUAAUGUUUUAAUAUAGUAAUAGUGACAAAAAUGUAUGGUUGAUUACAAUGCUAUUACAGUGUGAGAUAUUAGUCUUCAUUAAGGUUUAUUAUCAUGUAUAUUUGGGUUAGUUCUGUCUUGGAUAUAUAGCUAAUUCAGUUAAUCCAGUUCAGCUUACUUGGAGUAUUUAUAUAAUAAUUGGAAAUUUAUAUUAAUAUUGUAUUUGUGGUACAGCCUCUAUUAAGACACACUAAUUUGUAUAUUUUGUCUAGUUUUCUAGUGGAGAGCCAGCGUGGUGUAGUGGUUAGGGUGUUGGACUAGGACCGAGGAGACCCAAGUGCAAAUCCCCAUUCAGCCAUGAAACUAGCUGGGUGACUCUGGGCCAGUCACUUCUCUCUCAGCCUAACCUACCUCACAGGGUUGUUGUGAAAAAGAAACUCAAUUGUAGGCCACCCCAGAGCCCGGUGUAACUUCCUCCUCUGUCCCCCAAAAGGCAAGUGAUGGUGGAGGAGAAAGAAGGAGGAACGCCCUGCGCAGAAGGCUCGCUAUGGCCUGCAUCGACAGGCUGGUCGGUUUGCAGGCAUCAUUACAGGACCUGGCAUCUGGAUUUCUCUCAUUGGCAGGGAGACCAAUGACAUCGAUGCUACCGUGGAUAAAGGACCGCAAUCUGGGUGAUUCUGCAGGAGUGAUAAGAGAUUCCCUCCCUUAACUUCAGAGUUUUAGAAAUGCAUUUGAAUAAUAUAAGCCAUAUGUCCUCAGAAAGGAAGGCAAGGAACUUCAGAGCAAACCGGCAGAAAGUAAACAGAAGAAGCACCACACAAGUAUCUUUGGGGAAGAGUUCCAAAGCUGGAGUGCCACCACAAAAAAGGCCCUAUCCCUUCUCGGCUUCACCUUCAAACUAGGAGACAUCUAAAGAAGGGCUUCUAAAGGAGUUCUAAAGCUGCGGAGAAGACAGCAGUGCAGGCUCCAAGGAAGUUCUUCAUCUCCCUGCCACAUCACAUACAUGCAUUACAGCUGUGGACCUUUAAAGCAGCCUCUGUAGCUGUGCCUUGCUCAGCAGUGAGAGAUUCAGAAAUGCACAGGCAAUGCUUUUCACAGCAUGGAGAAGAUGAACAUUAUCAGCUGUGAUCAAGACAAAGUUAAAAGUAUAGCUACGGGGCUUGCUGAAAACCGCCAACCUGAACGUGCAUUGUAAAGUAUGCAUUUGUCACCAUGUGAAGUCUCAACAACCAUUCACUGAAUUCAUGCAAGAACAGAAUCCCCCAUGGUCUUCACUUGAGGCUUUUCUAAUUACUGGAGUUCCGAGUUUGUUUUACAAGAUUACACAUGCACAAAGGGUGUCCAAAAAUUCAUUUUUUAAGAAAUAGCAUCUUUAUCUCCAAACAAAAUCUCAAACUUAUAAUACUGGAGGCCAAGAUAGCCUAUGAAAAACUAACUUACCCUUCCUCCGUUAUGUUAAUAAUGUCACAAAUGUGCAUAAACUGGCCCCACUCUUCUGUCUGCAGUGCUCCAAAAGUAGCUUUUUCUGUAAAGACAAGUUUCUUACAAUUAAAGUGUCACA